rfam:Vitis vinifera, whole genome shotgun sequence of line PN40024, unoriented chromosome 17, chr17
AAAAAAGCAGGGGCUUGUUGCCGUAUGUGAACAGGUCUCUCGUAAACGUCAGGGAAAUCAUUAUCAUUAUUUUUGGGUGAACCUCUGUCCAGAUUAGUGGCAGGAGGCUCAGUAAAUAAUGGAACAUUU